CCUUGAUGACGACUGGCGCACGGGUGAGUAACGCGUAUCCAACCUUCCCAUAACUACGGGAUAACCCGUUGAAAGACGGCCUAAUACCGUAUGAUAUCGUUUGCUGACAUCAAAUAACGAUUAAAGGUUUAGCGGUUAUGGAUGGGGAUGCGUCUGAUUAGCUUGUUGGCGGGGUAACGGCCCACCAAGGCUACGAUCAGUAGGGGUUCUGAGAGGAAGGUCCCCCACAUUGGAACUGAGACACGGUCCAAACUCCUACGGGAGGCAGCAGCG
rnacentral:rRNA from 1 species